rnacentral:tRNA from 1 species
GGCCAUGUGCCCGAAAGUUUAAGGAUUAUUUUGAUAGAAUAAAAAACAAGAGUUCAAAUCUCUUCAUGUCCU